rnacentral:miRNA from 8 species
AUGCCCCUUAAGUGUCUUGCC